rnacentral:snRNA from 1 species
GGGAGAAAGUGGAACACCCGGCUUUAGAAAGCUCUCUGCUAACUCCAGCUGCAGAUGUCAUCCAGUCUGUGGGUGUUUUCAUUCCAGCUCAGAAGCCCUCUGAUGCCUCGCUGGCUAGGCGGGUGUCCUCUUCCUCCCUCUCUGCUCCUUGUGUGUCCCUCCCGAAGCUGGGGAAGCUGGGUGCUCUGUCUAAGGAGAGGAUGACCUUCCCCACAUAGAGGAGGACCAGUCUUUGUGUACGAGAAGCUGAGCUCCCCUGUUACAACCUCCAAACAAGUUCUCAAGAUAGACAAAGUGUGACAUCUACACAACAACCAACUUUUACCCAUAGGAGGAUGAUUAGGGAGAUUUUCCCCCAGUGCAGAUACAGACUGUGAACAUUUCCUGGAUCU